rnacentral:rRNA from 1 species
UAGUCCACGCCGUAAACGAUGAGAACUAGAUGUCGGGUUCAUUAAGGAACUUAGUGUCGAAGCUAACGCGUUAAGUUGACCGCCUGGGGAGUACGGCCGCAAGGUUAAAACUCAAAGGAAUUGACGGGGGCUCGCACAAGUGGUGGAGCAUGCGGUUUAAUUCGAUGCUACGCGAAAAACCUUACCAACCCUUGACAUGGUGGUCGCGAGAGAUAGAGAUAACUCUCUUCAGUUAGGCUGGACCACACACAGGUGUUGCAUGGCUGUCGUCAGCUCGUGUCGUGAGAUGUUGGGUUAAGUCCCGCAACGAGCGGAACCCUCAUUCUCAUUUGCCAGCGGUUCGGCCGGGAACUAUGAGAAAACUGCCGGUGAUAAGCCGGAGGAAGGUGGGGAUAAUGUCAAGUCAUCAUGCCCCUUACGUUCUGGGCUACACACGUACUACAAUGCUCUGGACAGAGGGCAGCGAACCAGCGAUGGUAAGCUAAUCCCAUAAACCAGGGCUCAGUUCAGAUU